GCAGAACGCGAAGAACCUUACCUACACUUGACAUACCUCUUGGGACUUUCAGAGAUGAUUGUUUUCGGUUCGGCCGGGGAGAGUACAGGUGCUGCAUGGCUGUCGUCAGCUCGUGUCGUGAGAUGUUGGGUUAAGUCCCGCAACGAGCGCAACCCUUAUCGUAUGUUGCCAGCAUUUAGUUGGGCACUCAUGCGAGACUGCCGGUGAUAAGCCGGAGGAAGGCGGGGACGACGUCAAGUCAUCAUGGCCCUUACGUGUAGGGCUAGAAACGUGCUACAAUGGCGGUGACAAUGGGCAGCGAGGUCGUGAGGCCAAGCUAAUCCCUAAAAGCCGUCUCAGUUCAGAUUGUAGUCUGCAACUCGACUACAUGAGGUUGGAAUCGCUAGUAAUCGUGAAUCAGCAUGUCACGGUGAAUACGUUCCCGGGUC
rnacentral:rRNA from 1 species